rnacentral:rRNA from 1 species
GACGAACGCUGGCGGCGUGCUUAACACAUGCAAGUCGAACGAUGAAACCUAGCUUGCUAGGUCGAUUAGUGGCGAACGGGUGAGUAACACGUGACUAACCUGCCCCUUUCUCUGGGAUAACGCUCCGAAAGGAGUGCUAAUACCGGAUACUCACAUCGAGGCACAUGCCUUGGUGUGGAAAGUUUUUCGGAAAGGGAUGGAGUCGCGGCCUAUCAGCUUGUUGGUGAGGUAACGGCUCACCAAGGCGACGACGGGUAGCCGGCCUGAGAGGGGGACCGGCCACACUGGGACUGAGACACGGCCCAGACUCCUCCGGGAGGCAGCAGUGGGGAAUAUUGCACAAUGGGCGCAAGCCUGAUGCAGCGACGCCGCGUGAGGGAUGAAGGUCUUCGGAUUGUAAACCUCUUUCAGUAGGGACGAAGCGAAAGUGACGGUACCUAAAGAAGAAGCACCGGCUAACUACGUGCCAGCCGCCGCAGUAA